GAAAGGGAGCCUGAACACAGGUGCUGCAUGGCUGUCGUCAGCUCGUGUCGUGAGAUGGUUGGUUAAGUCCCGCAACGAGCGCAACCCUUGUCAUUAGUUGCUACGAAAGGGCCCUCUAAUGAGACUGCCGGUGACAAACCGGAGGAAGGUGGGGAUGACGUCAAGUCCUCAUGGCCCUUAUGGGUAGGGCUUCACACGUCAUACAAUGGUACAUACAGAGGGCCGCCAACCCGCGAGGGGGAGCUAAUCCCAGAAAGUGUAUCGUAGUCCGGAUCGCAGUCUGCAACUCGACUGCGUGAAGUUGGAAUCGCUAGUAAUCGCGGAUCAGCAUGCCGCGGUGAAUACGUUCCCGGGUCUUGUACACACCGCCCGUCACACCAUGGGAGCGGGUUUUACCAGAAGUAGGUAGCUUAACCGUAAGGGGGGCGCUUACCACGGUAGGAUUCGUGACUGGGGUGAAGUCGUAACAAGGUAAGCGUAGCGAG
rnacentral:rRNA from 1 species